ensembl:lncRNA
GGGGUGGGAUCUGGGUUACAGGGGUGGGAUCUGGGAUGCUGGGGUGAGAUCUCGGUUACAGGGGUGGGAUCUGGGUUACAGGGGUGAGAUCUGGGGUGCUGGGGUGAGAUCUGGGUGACAGGGGUGAGAUCUAGGUUACAGGGGUGGGAUCUGGGGCUCUGGGGUGCUGGGGUGAGAUCUGGGGCACAGGGGUCGGAUCUGGGGUGCUGGGAUGGGAUCUGGGUUACAGGGGUGGGAUCUAGAGUGCUGGGGUGAGAUCUGGCUUACAGGGCUGAGAUCUGGGGUGCUGGGGUGAGAUCUGGGUUACAGGGGUGAGAUCUGGGGUGCUGGGGAGGGAUCUGGGGCACAGGGGUGAGAUCGGGGUUACAGGGGUGGGAUCUGGGGCUCUGGGGUGCUGGGGUGGGAUCUGGGUUACAGGGGUGGGAUCUGGGGUGCUGGGGUGAGAUCUGGGUUACAGGGGUGGGAUCUGGGGUGCUGGGGUGGGAUCUGGGUUACAGGGGUGAGAUCUGGGUUACAGGGGUGGGAUCUGGGGUGCUGGGGUGAGAUCUGGGUUACCAGGGGUGGGAUCUGGGGGUCUGGGGUGAGAUCUGGGUUACAGGGGUGGGAUCUGGGUUACAGGGGUGAGAUCUGGGGUGCUGGGGUGAGAUCUGGGUUACAGGGGUGUGAUCUGGGGUGCUGGGGUGAGAUCUCGGUUACAUGGGUUGGGAUCUGGUUUACUGGGGUUAGAUCUGGGGUGCUGGGGUGAGAUCUGGGUUACAGGGGUGGGAUCUGGGGCGCUGGGGUGAGAUCUGGGUUACAGGGGUGAGAUCUGGGGCGCUGGGGCCAGCUGAAGCACGGGAGCAGGGGAAGCCUGCUGCCUUACCUGCCAUGACAGCUGGAGAGUGGCAGUUAGGGGAGCCCCUCCCCCCACGGGGGGUUGCGUGACCGUUGGGGUCAGCCCCUUUCCCCCAGGCUUGAGAUGGUUUGAUUUUUCGUAGGCAAACAUCCUUCCCAUCCCAGUUGUUUCCCAUUCCAAUGAUCACUGACCCUCCCAAUGGGCAUUUUGCAGCGCAGUGCUCUUCCUUCCCAAGGGCCUCCCGUCCCAGUGGAAAUUGACCAUCCCUGCAA